GAUGAACGCUGGCGGCGUGCCUAAUACAUGCAAGUCGAGCGAACAGACGAGGAGCUUGCUCCUUUGACGUUAGCGGCGGACGGGUGAGUAACACGUGGAUAACCUACCUAUAAGACUGGGAUAACUUCGGGAAACCGGAGCUAAUACCGGAUAACAUGUUGAACCGCAUGGUUCAACAGUGAAAGACGGUCUUGCUGUCACUUAUAGAUGGAUCCGCGCCGCAUUAGCUAGUUGGUAAGGUAACGGCUUACCAAGGCAAUGAUGCGUAGCCGACCUGAGAGGGUGAUCGGCCACACUGGAACUGAGACACGGUCCAGACUCCUACGGGAGGCAGCAGUAGGGAAUCUUCCGCAAUGGGCGAAAGCCUGACGGAGCAACGCCGCGUGAGUGAAGAAGGUCUUCGGAUCGUAAAACUCUGUUAUUAGGGAAGAACAAAUGUGUAAGUAACUAUGCACGUCUUGACGGUACCUAAUCAGAAAGCCACGGCUAACUACGUGCCAGCAGCCGCGGUAAUACGUAGGUGGCAAGCGUUAUCCGGAAUUAUUGGGCGUAAAGCGCGCGUAGGCGGUUUUUUAAGUCUGAUGUGAAAGCCCACGGCUCAACCGUGGAGGGUCAUUGGAAACUGGAAAACUUGAGUGCAGAAGAGGAAAGUGGAAUUCCAUGUGUAGCGGUGAAAUGCGCAGAGAUAUGGAGGAACACCAGUGGCGAAGGCGACUUUCUGGUCUGUAACUGACGCUGAUGUGCGAAAGCGUGGGGAUCAAACAGGAUUAGAUACCCUGGUAGUCCACGCCGUAAACGAUGAGUGCUAAGUGUUAGGGGGUUUCCGCCCCUUAGUGCUGCAGCUAACGCAUUAAGCACUCCGCCUGGGGAGUACGACCGCAAGGUUGAAACUCAAAGGAAUUGACGGGGACCCGCACAAGCGGUGGGGCAUGUGGUUUAAUUCGAAGCAACGCGAAGAACCUUACCAAAUCUUGACAUCCUCUGACCCCUCUAGAGAUAGAGUUUUCCCCUUCGGGGGACAGAGUGACAGGUGGUGCAUGGUUGUCGUCAGCUCGUGUCGUGAGAUGUUGGGUUAAGUCCCGCAACGAGCGCAACCCUUAAGCUUAGUUGCCAUCAUUAAGUUGGGCACUCUAAGUUGACUGCCGGUGACAAACCGGAGGAAGGUGGGGAUGACGUCAAAUCAUCAUGCCCCUUAUGAUUUGGGCUACACACGUGCUACAAUGGACAAUACAAAGGGUAGCGAAACCGCGAGGUCAAGCAAAUCCCAUAAAGUUGUUCUCAGUUCGGAUUGUAGUCUGCAACUCGACUACAUGAAGCUGGAAUCGCUAGUAAUCGUAGAUCAGCAUGUUACGGUGAAUACGUUCCCGGGUCUUGUACACACCGCCCGUCACACCACGAGAGUUUGUAACACCCGAAGCCGGUGGAGUAACCUUUUGGAGCUAGCCGUCGAAGGUGGGACAAAUGAUUGGGGUGAAGUCGUAACAAGGUAGCCGUAUCGGAAGG
rnacentral:rRNA from 1 species